rnacentral:lncRNA from 1 species
UUUCGAUUGGCAUCCUCCUCCCAAUAGAGCAUACAAUCAUUAAGGCAUGCAUAUAUCAUGUUGUAAGUAAAGUCUAACUGUUCAAUAAUCUUCAAUGUCUUAGAAUUAUUCUUUAAGAUUUAUGCAUUGUCCAGAAGAAUAUCCUCCAAAAGCUCUAGUAUAUAGUUCACUCCAUUAUUACUGAACUCAUUGGAGCAUUUCGCAUGAUACAACCAAAUUAAGAACUCAAGGUUCACCAUCUUUUCACACCCA